rnacentral:rRNA from 1 species
GAUGAACGCUGGCGGCGUGCCUAAUACAUGCAAGUCGAACGAACAGACGAGGAGCUUGUUCCUCUGACGUUAGCGGAGGACGGGUGAGUAACACGUGGAUAACCUACCUAUCAGACUGGGAUAACUUCGGAACACCGGAGCUUAUACCGUAUAAUAUCUUGCACCGCAUGGGUCAAUAGUGAUUGACGGCUUUGCUGUCACUUAUCGCUGGAUCCUGGCCGCAUUAUCUAGUUGGUGCGUUUAAGGCUUACUUAGGCUACUAUGCGUAGCCGACGUGAUAGGGUGUUCGGCGACACUAGAGCUUAGCCACGGUCCAGACUCCUACGGUAGGCAGCAGUAUGCUACCUUCCGCAACGGGCGAAAGCCUUACACAGCAACGGCGCGUGAGUGAUGGAGAUCUUCGGAUCGUAAUACCGUGUUUCUAGUGAAGAACAGAUUUGUAAUUUACUAUGCACUGCUUGACGGUACCUAGUCAGAAAGCCACGGCUAACUACGUG